GAUGAAGAACGCAGCGAAAUGCUAUACGUAAUGUGAAUUGCAGAAUUCAGAGAAUCAUCGAAUCUUUGAACGCAUAUUGCGCUCUCUGGUAUUCCGGAGAGCAUGCUUGUUUGAGUAUCAGUAAACACCUCAACUUCCAUAUCUUUUUUGAAAUGGGAGUUGGACUUGAGUGAUCCCAACGCUUUUCCUCACCGAAAAGUGGCGGGUUACUUGAAAUGCAGGUGCAGCUGGACUUUUCUCUGAGCUAUAAGCAUAUCUAUUUAGUCUGCCUAAAAAACAGAUUAUUACCUUUGCUGCAGCUAACAUAAAGGAGAUUAGUUCUUGUGCUGACUGAUGCAGGAUUCACAAAGACAGGCUUCGGCCGACUUUGUAAACUCGAUCUCAAAUCAAGUAAGACUACCCGCUGAACUUAAGCAUAUCAAUAAGCGGAGGA
rnacentral:misc_RNA from 1 species